rnacentral:lncRNA from 1 species
GGUGAGGUUUUUACUUUCGGGGUUUUAAAUGGUUAGAAGCCUCAGGAAGUUUGCUUCUCCAAGGCCAGCCUUGGAAUGAAAACAGUUGGGGAACUAAAUCCCUUCAAACCAAGUUUGGUACCUUUAGUCAAGGCUGAGCAGGAGAAACAAAGAAUCUCAGAAAGAUCUCACAGCAAGUGUCUGCCCCAAACCCUCUCUGAAUAAGUGUCUUCCCUGUAACAUUCCCCACUAUCCAAUUUCUGAUGGAAGAGCUCCAGUGAAUAGGAACUCGGGGAUAAUGAGAUAUGGUCAGAAAAAUGUUGGACUUGGAGCAACACGUUCUUUUUAGUUUUUGAUUCUUGGCCAUAAAACUUACUGGCUGUGCUAUCAGGGGGAAGUCAUUUCAUAUUUGCAAGCUUCAAUUUCCCCAUCUAGAAAAAUGAGGCUCAUUGAUCAAAUCGUCCAGGCUUCUUCUGGGAGUUCUGAGUUCAAGUUGGAAGCUAGUGAAAAAUCUGCUGACUGGACCCGAGACCCUGUUCCUGGAAAUGCUUCUGCUCUGGCUGCUUAUAUCCCCCGACUGGUGCAAUCGACAGAUGUAGCAGUGCAUAUCCACAGAGUGCCUGGAACCUGGGGUAUCCAUCUUGUGGGGGAAAGAGGAAUAUGGUUUGUCCCACAAAUGCAAACCGGAGUCUUUCCUAGAAGGGGUAUAAUAUCAGAAUCGAGGAUAUGGUGACUAUUGUGUUUCUAUCAACUACCUAUUGGACAGUUUAACUUUGGCUUCUCUUUGGUAUCCCUAGUACUUUGCAAAAGUGCCUGGCUCUUGGCAGUCAUAUACUAGCAUGCAAUAAAUGUUUAUAGACUGGCUGACUGGUCCA